AGCAAUAUAACUAACUGCAUGCUUUUCAUGCUCAUUAAACAUCUAUUCAUCAUGCAUUUUCAGAUACGUGAGGGUAGCCUGUCCAUUUGGCAUGUAGCUAGCUAGCUACAACAUGUCAUAUAGUUUGCUUCAUCAGAGGUUAGGCUUUUGGAAAGAGCUUGACAUCGGCAACUCCUCGUCCCGCUUGACAGGCAGAGUCCACAAUGGAUGGGAAAUUAACAUAAAUUACUCAUACUUGUCAGAGUGAGAAAUGACCAUGGGUGACUCCUUACCCUGAAAGGCACACGAUCAACAAGGUAAGUUACCUUCAGAAAUAAGUUACCCUCUACAGUACAUUGUGCUAUUAUUUGUAUCCUGAAUUACCAAAAGCCAAUGGCUGUUUCUUGAAUUGUGGACCUUGGAUUUGGCAUAGACAUUGUGUUGUAUUCCUCUCCUCAGCUUGCCCUCUUGGUGCCAUGUCUAUAGGCCAGACAAAAAGCUAUGGAGACAUUCUUUGCCUUUGCAGUCUCACCUGUACAUUCAAGCAAUACAUAUGUAGUUAUUUGGGUUUUGUAGCUGUAUUUGGUUUGAUCUGACUUAGUUUGUUAGACAGUUAGACAGGUACGGUAUAUUUUCAGAUCAUAUGUGGGAGAUUCUGCCCUGCAGUUUUCGUCUGGCUCUUUCUAUUGUGCUGUUCUUUUUCA
rnacentral:lncRNA from 1 species